GCCGGUGUAGCUCAGUUGGUUAGAGCAUCGCAUUCAUAAAGCGAAGGUCGCAGGUUCAAGUCCUGCCACCGGCA
rnacentral:tRNA from 1 species